AUUGAACGCUGGCGGCAUGCCUUACACAUGCAAGUCGAACGCGAAAGCGGGGCAACCCGCAAGUAGAGUGGCGAACGGGUGAGUAAUACAUCGGAACGUGUCCAGUAGCGGGGGAUAACCUCUCGAAGAGAGGCUAAUACGCAUACGACCUACGGUGAAGAGGGGAGUCGCAAGACCUCUCACUAUUGGAGCGGCCGAUGUCGGAUUAGCUAGUUGGCGGGGUAAAGGACCCACCAAGGCUACGAUCCGUAGCUGGUCUGAGAGGACGACCAGCCACACUGGAACUGAGACACGGUCCAGACUCCUACGGGAGGGCAGCAGUGGGGAAGUUUU
rnacentral:rRNA from 1 species